ensembl:lncRNA
GAUGGAGGAACUGCAUCUGGAGGGCGACCAUGAAUCUACCUGCCAACAGACCAGGACUGGGUGAUGGAGGGGGGCUGAUAGAGCCGUGCUGAGGACCUGCUGGUGAAGGACGUCCCUCGGUGGGGGGGCUAGGACAGCCGACCCUGAGGAUCCGCUCGGAUCUACGAUCGCUACGAUGCGACUGCAGAGGUCUCUGGAAGGUGAAGGACAGCUACCAGGAGUCCUUGCCUGAGGAGAGCUGACGGAGGAGCCGUGCACCUGGAGAACCAUGAGUCUGCCUGCCAACAAGUAGUACUGGAAGGCGGGGCAUAGGGAGGUGUUGGAGGACCUGCCUGGUGAAGGACGUCAGGGUGGGGCGAGUGACACCCGACUCCAAGGGGAUAUCCACUGAGGAGAGAGCUGAAGGAGCCAUGCAUCUGGAAGGUGCAGUUGAAAUGCUGUGUCCAGUCUGGGACAGACGGACCUGAGCUGCAUCAAACCUGUAUCUCUGACCAGUUGGAGGCCUUUAGUGAUCAACAACCGCCACUCAUCGCUGGCCUGUGGAUUCAUCUCCUUCACACUCACACAUCAGGACUUUGGCCUGUGGAUUCAUCUCCUCCACACUCACACAACAGGACUUUGACCUGUGGAUUCAUCUCCUCCACACUCACACAACAGGACUUUGGCCUGUGGAUUCAUCUCCUCCACACUCACACAACGUGACCUUCUCACCAUCUGUUGCACGUUUGGAUGCACCUAGCGUGUUCCAUCGAGGGUUCCUUCCUCCCCACGGUGGGAGGGUUCCUUGUCCUUCAAGGCGUCGGGGUUCAGUGUUAG